UACGUAGGGUGCGAGCGUUUGUCCGGAAUUAUUGGGCGUAAAGGGCUCGUAGGCGGUUUGUCGCGUCGGGAGUGAAAACCCAGGGCUUAACCCUGGGCUGGCUUCCGAUACGGGCAGACUAGAGGUAUGCAGGGGGAGAACGGAAUUCCUGGUGUAGCGGUGAAAUGCGCAGAUAUCAGGAGGAACACCGGUGGCGAAGGCGGUUCUCUGGGCAUUACCUGACGCUGAGGAGCGAAAGUGUGGGGAGCGAACAGG
rnacentral:rRNA from 1 species